AAGUCACUGAUAAUCAUGUUCGCUUAGAAUUUGGUAAAAGCAAUGAAGUAGGACCUGGAAUUGCUUUUACCAAAUUCUAAGCGAACAUGAUUAUCAGUGACUUUCU
rnacentral:pre_miRNA from 21 species